ACAACAGUAAGUGGUGUUAGUUCUUUCUUGGCUAUUACUUUUCAGUUGACAUAACUCUGCAAAGUUAAUGGUGUACGUAAAAUUUUAAAAAAUCACCAGUUCAAGGGAUAUUAAAAAAAAGUCCUUCGAUAAAAACCAGUUCAGUAGCUUCAGAGAUAGUUCAUAUCCCUAGUUGACAGAACCGGUCUUGCGGUUAUGGCGUCUUUGGGACAUACAAAAGCAGGGUUCUUCGCAGAAUUGGGCACAUUUGGCAGGUUGCAGUUAUCCUGAAAGGAAGUCAAACACCAAGCAGCAAUGAAGGCCUUCAACUACCUGUUCGUUCUGACACUGCUCCUGGCGGCUACAACCACAGUCUUCGGCAGGUUCUUUGAUUCCUUCGAGGACUCCCGCGAGUUCGUCGUAGCCUACGGCGGUCGGCCAUUCGCAGGGGCUACCGGAAGUCGUCCAUUCUUCGGGGGUCGUCCAGGAUAUGGAAAGUGAUCGUUUCAAAAGACGGCUGUGGACUCCCGGAAACCACCUCUUGAUUGACUCGAUACUCUUCUGCCCAAAUUCUACAGGAAUUUGAGCGUUAGUCCCACGUUCUACACUUUUUUUUUUUUAUUCUUGUAAAUGCUUACGUGUUUUUCGCUAUUGAUGUAAAUGCUGUAGUAAUAAAAGCACUCUCUUAUAUUUUCUUCAU